rnacentral:rRNA from 1 species
GGGCCCGCACAAGCGGUGGAGCAUGUGGUUUAAUUCGACGCAACGCGAAGAACCUUACCAGGGCUUGACAUCCUUUGAAUCCUGAUGAAAGUCGGGAGUGCCUCGUAAGAGGAGCAAAGAGACAGGUGGUGCAUGGUUGUCGUCAGCUCGUGUCGUGAGAUGUUGGGUUAAGUCCCGCAACGAGCGCAACCCCUACGGUUAGUUGCUAACGUAAAGCCGAGCACUCUAACAGAACUGCCGGUGACAAACCGGAGGAAGGUGGGGAUGACGUCAAAUCAUCAUGCCCUUUAUGUCCUGGGCUACACACGUGCUACAAUGGCCGGUACAAAGGGCAGCGAAGUCGCGAGGCAGAGCAAAUCCCAAAAAGCCGGUACUCAGUUCGGAUUGCAGGCUGCAACUCGCCUGCAUGAAGUCGGAAUCGCUAGUAAUCGCAGGUCAGCAUACUG